UACGGAGGGUGCAAGCGUUAUCCGGAUUUACCGGGUUUAAAGGGUGCGUAGGUGGGUUGGUAAGUCAGUGGUGAAAUACUUUCGCUUAACGAAGGAACUGCCAUUGAUACUACCAGUCUUGAAUGUAGUGGAGGUAGGCGGAAUGCGUCAUGUAGCGGUGAAAUGCUUAGAUAUGACGCAGAACACCAAUUGCGAAGGCAGCUUGCUACACUACUAUUGACACUGAGGCACGAAAGCGUGGGGAUCAAACAGG
rnacentral:rRNA from 1 species